GUGACAAACCGGAGGAAGGUGGGGAUGACGUCAAAUCAUCAUGCCCCUUAUGAUUUGGGCUACACACGUGCUACAAUGGACAAUACAAAGGGCAGCGAAACCGCGAGGUCAAGCAAAUCCCAUAAAGUUGUUCUCAGUUCGGAUUGUAGUCUGCAACUCGACUACAUGAAGCUGGAAUCGCUAGUAAUCGUAGAUCAGCAUGCUACGGUGAAUACGUUCCCGGGUCUUGUACACACCGCCCGUCACACCACGAGAGUUUGUAACACCCGAAGCCGGUGGAGUAACCUUUUAGGAGCUAGCCGUCGAAGGUGGGACAAAUGAUUGGGGUGAAGUCGUAACAAGGUAGCCGUAUCGGAAGGUGCGGCUGGAUCACCUCCUUU
rnacentral:rRNA from 1 species